rnacentral:piRNA from 1 species
UACUGAAUGAUCUCCUCCUCC